AUUUAUGGAAGCCAUAGAGUGGGAACUUUUGGCAUCCUGAAGAAUUGUGUUCUAGAAUCUAUAUCUUUAAUAUCAUUCCUCGGGUCAGAAGCUGCCAUGAGCAAAGAGGAGUGCUACCAGUGCCUGAGGGUCCUUACAUUGGCAAGGACUUGAUACUGUAAGAUAUACCAGAUUGUUUGAGCAGUUUCCCCCAUGGCUAAGCAUAAGGCAUUUCUUGAUCUGCAUUUUCUGGGAGGUAAAAGUUUUAACGAAGUUAUAGAAGAUUCCUCAUUGUGACAGGUUAUAAAAUCAGGAGGAAAGGGAUAAAGCUGCACACACUUUCCCAGCUUUCCAGGCAUCAUGUCCACUUACUCUCAUCAGAGAGCUGAAUCUGUCCUUCUCUGGGAGUAAUCAGAGCAUUUGCCUAAGGAUAUUCCACCCAUGGUAAAGCGCCCAAGGAAGUUAUCUGUGGCCUCCAGACAUCUCAAAGAUAUUCAUAUACUACUGGGACUUGGCUAAAAAGUAAGAAUAGAUAUUACUGCUCCCCUCUACUCCUUCCCAAUAUUAAAGAAGAGAAGCUUUGUAGGU